rnacentral:rRNA from 1 species
AGCCGAACGAGAAUCUUUGAACAGAUCUUUUCGGAGUGACGUUCAAAGAGGAAAGUGGCGGACGGGCGAGUAACGCGUGAGUAACCUGCCCAUAAGAGGGGGAUAAUCCAUGGAAACGUGGACUAAUACCGCAUAUUGUAGUUAAGUUGCAUGACUUGAUUAUGAAAGAUUUAUCGCUUAUGGAUGGACUCGCGUCAGAUUAGAUAGUUGGUGAGGUAACGGCUCACCAAGUCAACGAUCUGUAGCCGAACUGAGAGGUUGAUCGGCCGCAUUGGGACUGAGACACGGCCCAGACUCCUACGGGAGGCAGCAGUGGGGAAUAUUGCGCAAUGGGGGCAACCCUGACGCAGCAACGCCGCGUGCAGGAAGAAGGUCUUCGGAUUGUAAACUGUUGUCGCAAGGGAAGAAGACAGUGACGGUACCUUGUGAGAAAGUCACGGCUAACUACGUGCCAGCAGCCGCGGUAAUACGUAGGUGACAAGCGUUGUCCGGAUUUACUGGGUGUAAAGGGCGCGUAGGCGGACUGUCAAGUCAGUCGUGAAAUAC